AGAGUUGACAUGGCUCAGAUUGACGCUGUUGACAGGCCUAACACAUGCAAGUCGAGCGGUAGAGAGGAGCUUGCUCCUCUUGAGAGCGGCGGACGGGUGAGUAAUACCUGGGAAUCUGCCUGGUACGGGGGAUAACGUUCGGAAACGGACGCUAAUACCGCAUACGUCCUACGGGAGAAAGCACGCGAUCUCCGGACCUUGCGCUAUCAUAUGAGCCCAGGUCGGAUUAGCUUGUUGGUGAGGUAACGGCUCACCAAGGCUGCGAUCCGUAACUGGUCUGAGAGGAUGAUCAGUCUCACUGGAACUGAGACACGGUCCAGACUCCUACGGGAGGCAUCAGCGGGGAAUAUUGCACAAUGGGGGAAACCCUGAUGCAGCCAUGCCGCGUGUGUGAAGAAGGCCUUCUGGUUGUAAAGCACUUUCAGUGGUGAGGAAGGCGUUGUCGUUAAUA
rnacentral:rRNA from 1 species